rnacentral:rRNA from 1 species
AUGGUGGCCGACCAGAGCGUCGUUCAGCAGGCGAACCAUAUGAACUCCAAAAGGAAUGAAAGCACAGGAUACAAAGACAAGAAAGGCAGCAUGUACCUGAUUCGCUUCACAAACGCCUGUCAAAGCGGCAACCACCUAAAACAGAAGCAAGCAGCAGCGGCUGAAGCCCUAUACAAAAUAAUAUGGAGGGGCUCACCAGUGAGGACUAAAGACCGCACCCAAGGCGUUCGUGUAGCGGAAGGGGAGAUGCAGCCGGGGUCGGGGCAUGAUUUGGAAGAUGAACUGCGCUCUGCUGAUGACCUGCAGCAAACUGCCGGUGCUGCUGGAGCUGCACCUCGAUCAGAAGCUGAGGCUGAGCCGGCCCCAUGGCGGACGCCGGCGGUGGCCGGAAGGCCUCCCCCUCUCCGUCAUGCUUCAACAGGCGCAACUCAGCAUCGACCUCUCCCUCAAGGGGCCCUACAUCUCCACCGCGUUUGCGCCGAUGGAGAAUGUCCUGGCCGACGUCGCCGGAGUCGCGAUUAG